CCCGCUGAACUUAAGCAUAUCAAUAAGCGGAGGAAAAGAAACUAACAAGGAUUCCCCUAGUAACUGCGAGUGAAGCGGGAAAAGCUCAAAUUUAAAAUCUGGUGGCCUUUGGCCAUCCGAGUUGUAAUUUAGAGAAGCGUCUUCCGCGCUGGACCGUGCACAAGUCUCCUGGAAUGGAGCGUCGUAGAGGGUGAGAAUCCCGUCUUUGGCACGGACGCCCAGUGCUUCUGUGAUGCGCUCUCGAAGAGUCGAGUUGUUUGGGAAUGCAGCUCAAAAUGGGUGGUGAACUCCAUCUAAAGCUAAAUAUUGGCGAGAGACCGAUAGCGAACAAGUACCGUGAGGGAAAGAUGAAAAGAACUUUGGAAAGAGAGUUAAACAGUACGUGAAAUUGCUGAAAGGGAAACGCUUGAAGUCAGUCACGUUGGCCAGGGAUCAACCUUGCUUUUGCUUGGUGUACUUUCUGGUUGAUGGGUCAGCAUCAAUUUUGACCAUUGGAAAAAGGUCAAGGGAAUGUGGCAUCUUCGGAUGUGUUAUAGCCCUUGGUUGCAUACAAUGGUUGGGAUUGAGGAACUCAGCACGCCGCAAGGCCGGGUUUUUAACCACGUACGUGCUUAGGAUGCUGGCAAAAUGGCUUUAAUCGACCCGUCUUGAAACACGG
rnacentral:rRNA from 1 species